AAUCAACGCUGGCGGCGUGCCUCAGACAUGCAAGUCGAACGCGAAAGCUCCCUUCGGGGAGCAAGUAGAGUGGCGCACGGGUGAGUAACACGUAGGUAAUCUACCUUUGGAUGGGGAAUAACAACCGGAAACGGUUGCUAAUACCGCAUAAUGCAGCGGCACCUAAUGGUGACAGUUGUUAAAGCGGGGGAUCGCAAGACCUCGCGUCUGAAGAGGAGCCUGCGGCGGAUUAGCUAGUUGGUAGGGUAACGGCUUACCAAGGCGAUGAUCCGUAGCCGGCCUGAGAGGGCGGUCGGCCACACUGACACUGACAUACGGGUCAGACUCCUACGGGAGGCAGCAGUCGGGAAUUUUGGGCAAUGGGCGAAAGCCUGACCCAGCAACGCCGCGUGAAGGAUGAAAUCCUUCGGGAUGUAAACUUCGCAAGAACGGGAAGAAUAAAGUCUGCGCAAAUAUCGCAGAUGAUGACGGUACUGUUUGUAAGCUCCGGCUAACUCCGUGCCG
rnacentral:rRNA from 1 species